rnacentral:tRNA from 1 species
ACUAUUUUGGCAGAUUAGUGCGGUAAAUUUAGAAUUUAUUUAUGUAAUAUUAUAUUACAGAUAGUA